CAGACCCAGUCAACUUACCUGGUAAAAUAAUGGAUUUUGGAGAAAAAAAGCCUAAAAGACAGCCAUGGUGUCGGUCUUCAUUUCUUGGUUCUCCUGUGGUGCAUAUAAGACCCGCUACAUAAAGACAAAAUGUAAUCUACAUGUGUUAUAGAAUUAUCACUCUUCUUACAUCCCAGGUCAUGUUUGGACUGGAACGUGACAACUCAACGGGCUAUCUCCCCAAAAGCCUACAGACAACUUUCCUGAGUGCAAUGUCAUUAAUGUGACCGAUAUGUACAGUAUAAAAAGCAUAGUGAAGCAGGAAAAUAUCCCACCUCUGACGCACAGCAGAGACAUCGCUGCUGAGAUUUCCCCUGGAGCAAGAGUCCCUCAAGAAUUUAAAAACAGUCAUUGCGUUUCAAUGAAUGUACUCCCCAAACGCUUGUUGCAUCGUAAACUAUCCUCCCAGUCCCUUGGGACUUCAGCGGAUGGAUGAUGCGCCGCUGCCAUUUACAUGGAUGAGAAGUUGGACGAACGCUGUCUGGCGUGCGAAGGGUUUUGUCCCAUUGUAUAUAUUUAUUGUUUUUUUCAUGGCAAUUUUAUUAUUAAACUGCGCCGUUGUAACACGAUCUUUGCUCUCCCGACUUCUCUGCCGCCAGUACGCAUUAACAGUAGGCUAUGGUUGCUGUUUGUAUUUCAUUCAUUGAACUUUAGGCCCAUACAAAGACAAAUCACACAACAUAGACUACCAAAUAACCUUAGGCAAAAAUACACGAAAUAAAAGUCAAGUGAAAAUAGUUAUAAAUGUCUUUAUCAAUUAUGAGUAGCUAAACAUUAUCGACUUUUGGACACUGAUGCGCAGGAGAACCCCUAGGUUGUAAAUAAUUGCAUUAGUGAAACAUCAUUUUUAGGAGUAAUUUCUACAAACAUAAACAUCAGAGGCAACAUUGUUGUAACUUCACACAAAUUGCAUUGGAAAUUUCAUUUAUCUUUAAUCAGAGAGAGAGAGAUAAUAGAGGCAAACAGAAGAGAGGAGAUGGCGGAAGAGGAAAGAAGGGAGAUCCUUGAAAAAAACAAGAGGGGUGACAGAGGAGAAGGAAGAUGACAAGGAGGACAUUCUCCCACCUGAUAAAAGUAUCCGAAGGAGAGCUGUGGGCUGGAUAAAUAAGAAGUGGGAGAAGAGGAACCUCAAAAAGAUAGAGAGAACGUAUCAGAGAGAGGCUGAGAAGGGCUAUAAGAUCGUCAACAUUAGAUGCCCAGAGAACCAACAGGGGGGGCCAGAGAGCCAGCAGCUAGAAGCUCCAGAAGAGGCUGAAACAUCAGAGCCAACCUCAAAGAAAAAGCCAGGCAUCUGGAAGAGUUAAGGGAAGUUGGAUUGUGCAAAACCAGAUGGAAGUCCCUCCGUGACAUUUUUGAAAGGCACCUACGGAAGGCCCAGCCCAGUGGUUCUGGGGGAACCAAUCAGAAAGAAUGGAAAUACAUGAAAAUAUUAUCAUUCUUGAUACCUUACGUCCAGCCAAGAAGCUCAAGAGGCAACCUCAGCCUUGAAAAUGCUUAUUCGCCUCAGCCACAACCGAUGGAGCCCGAUGACGCUGAAGACGACGUGGUGUCCCUGAGCCCUGUGCUUCAGAUGCCUGAACAACAGUCAAGACCAACCACUACAGGCACAGCUCAAGACUGGCAGCCAAGAAAAAGAAAACAGAAAGUCAACUAUCAAGAUGUGGAUGAAGAGCUGCUUGCAUUUGUCAGCCAAUCCCUUCUGCUGUUACCCCAGAGGAUGAGGAUGAGGAUGAGGCACGUGUGCUCAGCCUUGUGCCAGAGCUGAAGAAAAUAGGAAGAAACAAGGGACGUCUGAAAGUGCAACUACUGUCAUUGAUUGUAAACUGGGAUGACCAGCAUGCAACACCUCUGCUACCACAAUGGCUCUUUGAUGCUAUGGACAUAGUCCACCAAUGGAAG